rnacentral:rRNA from 1 species
GGUGCCAGCAGCCGCGGUAAUUCCAGCUCCAAUAGCGUAUAUUAAAGUUGUUGCAGUUAAAAAGCUCGUAGUUGGAUUUCUGUUAAUAAUUUAUAUAAAAUAUUUUGAUGAAUAUUUAUAUAAUAUUAACAUAAUUCAUAUUACUAUAUAUUUUAGUAUAUGAAAUUUUACUUUGAGAAAAUUAGAGUGCUUAAAGCAGGCAUAUGCCUUGAAUACUCCAGCAUGGAAUAAUAUUAAAGAUUUUUAUCUUUCUUAUUGGUUCUAAGAUAAGAAUAAUGAUUAAUAGGGACAGUUGGGGGCAUUUGUAUUUAACAGUCAGAGGUGAAAUUCUUAGAUUUGUUAAAGACAAACUAAUGCGAAAGCAUUUGCCAAGGAUGUUUUCAUUAAUCAAGAACGAAAGUUAGGGGAUCGAAGACGAUCAGAUACCGUCGUAGUCUUAACCAUAAACUAUGCCAACUAGAGAUUGGAGGUUGUUCCUUAC